rnacentral:lncRNA from 1 species
ACUUCACAGCAGUUGGAAGGAGGUCACCAAUUAAUAACAGAGUACACCAGUCAUCAUAAGAAGAAAAAUUCACAUUUAAAGUUUGGAAAGCAACAGGACAAAGGUCUGUCUUCAGUGGUGCGUAGACAUGCUCGUGAUUGAAUUGGAAAUAGUUCUCUUUCCUUCUCUCUGACUUCCUAACUGAAAAGCUGCAGCGUGGGGAGAAAGGCUGCUCAGAAGCCUGGAGCCAGAACACGCACCCCGGCUUUUGCAGGGCCGGCUCACUUGGUUAGAAUCAAAGGAAAAGCCUUGUUAUUUGGGAAGCUGGGCGUCCUCACCAAAUUAGGGGAUUUAAUUUGCAGAUAUCUAAGGAGUGCUUUGAAAUGAAAGAUGAACUAAAAUCUGCUCUGAGGCCCGUGAUUUUUCACCAGUGAAGGACUCUCUUGCUGCUGGACAUACAUGAAAAGCAUCAUCUGAUCUGAAACGCAAGUCC